CUUUGUACUCACCGCCCGUCAAGUCAGGGAAGUUGGGAGCGCCCGAAAGACAUCCUCGCGAUGUACCAAGGCGAACUCAAUGACAAAGACU
rnacentral:rRNA from 1 species